rnacentral:rRNA from 1 species
UACGAAGGGGGCUAGCGUUGUUCGGAUUUACUGGGCGUAAAGCGCGUGUAGGCGGGUCGUUAAGUUGGGGGUGAAAUCCCGAGGCUCAACCUCGGAACUGCCUUCAAAACUGGCGACCUGGACCCAAGUAGAGGCAAGUGGAAUUGCGAGUGUAGAGGUGAAAUUCGUAGAUAUUCGCAGGAACACCAGUGGCGAAGGCGACUUGCUGGACUUGUGGUGACGCUGAGACGCGAAAGCGUGGGGAGCAAACAGG